UAGCUCAGUUGGUUAGAGUGUGGUGCUGAUAACACCAAGGCCGUGGGUUCGAUCCCCGU
rnacentral:tRNA from 1 species